GAACUUUUAAACUAAAAUUUAAGUCUUUAGACUUAAAAUAGUUCAUAUACUAAUAGGUUAAUUAUUCUUUUUUUAGAAAUGAUUAGAAUAUUAUUGCUUCAUUCACUGUUAGACAGUGACAACGUUAUUGGACCUAACUUCUAUAGCUAGUAUCAGAAGUUAAGCAUAGUUCUUGAGCUUGAAUUGAUCAAGAAGUUUAAGGCUAACCACAAUCAGAC
rnacentral:lncRNA from 1 species